rnacentral:misc_RNA from 1 species
GGAUAUGCUGGGGAACUAGAAUAACCAGGCAUGGCCAUUGGUGGAACAUAAACAGGAGAUAGGAAUUGACGAUAUGGCAUGAGGUUUGCAAAAUGGGAAACAUGAACUUGCGGAUACAUCUGAGCAACUGGAGUUUGCUGCUGUUGCACCAUAGGAAUCGUUGAUGCAGGGAUGCCGUUAGCAGUAUGAGAGUUCACCGCAUCUUGAGACGGUAGGC